rnacentral:tRNA from 1 species
AAGGGAGACCUAAUUCAGGUAUGGGACGAAAAAAAAGUAGUCGCUACCAAGAAUCAAUCCCAAAAGGUCGGAGCGAGGUAUGAGGCUUUCAAACUAGGUUCUGGGUUCAAACAAGACCUGAAUCAGGAACAAGGGCUAUUAGCUCAGGUGGUUAGAGCGCACCCCUGAUAAGGGUGAGGUCCCUGGUUCGAGUCCAGGAUGGCCCACCUGCACAGGUGGCAAAAACAAGAGAAGCGAGGAAUCAGCACCUUAUCUUAUCUAUAUAUAUAUAGGAGAGAAUGCUGGCUCUGAGUAAAGAGUCCAGAGGAACCUUGAAAACUGCAUAGAGCUAGGUGAAAAAGCCAAAAAAGAGGACCGCAAGGUCAAGCUAAUAAGGGCUAACGGUGGAUACCUAGGCAC